rnacentral:tRNA from 1 species
UUAUUAUUUUGGCAGAUUARUGCGAUGGAUUUAGAAUUCAKAAAUAUAAUUUUUAUUAUAAAUA